CCCUGGUGCUCCGUGUUCCCCCCGGGCCCCCUGCGGUGUGUGCCGCGCUUCCCGGGCAUUGCCCGCCAUGUUCAAGGUAACCCUGCUUCAAAGAGGGCCGCUCGCUGCCGAACGUGGACACACUUUAGCAGGGAUGAAACUACUGGGACCCCACUAAUGUUCCUUCGCACCAGCCUCUGCCCACUCCAGACUCUGCAGCAACCUGUGUGGCCAACUCCAGCCCUGUGUAUUGAUCUAGAUAACUACAGCAGCUUCUCAGAGUAGCGUUUUUAAGGAAGAAAGCAAGCUUGAAGUGACCUAAGUGAGUUUUUGUGCAGAUGAAUCCCUGUUGCUCCCCUCCUUGGGCUGGAGCUGAGUGCCUGAAUCUCGACCAACUCCCUCCUGUUUCCUUCCCAGAGGAGCCUGAAGAGCAGUGAUACCUGUGGAGAGUAGAGAAUGUCUUCACAGAGUACUCCUCUCCCCCAACAUUGUGGGGCGAGAUAAAUCUUCUGAAUCUGCUUUUUUCUCUCUUUGGUGAUUGAGUUAGUUGUGGUGGCCCUGGGUACCCAACUGGUAGAUACCUGAAGCCGUGUGUUAUGAAUCCCACUGCUUUUAACUUGUAACACAGAAUGGCUGAAAUUGUAAUUGGGGUGAGAAGCAGCUCCUUCCCACCUACUCUUUAUUUUAAGGGAAAGACAAAUUUUACUUUCUCCUUUCUGUACUUUGUCAGUUAUUCAGAUGGUGUGCUGACAGCUGGCUAAAGCUGCCCACAGUGCAUUUCUUCCCUGGAGCUGGAGAGCCACUGCCUCUUUUGCCCCUCUGUGCAGCAAGAAGCCUGUGGCAGUGAGCAUGGGGAAGGAGACAGCUCUUCACUUUUUUUCUUUCUUUUUUAUUUUUCUCCAGGAUUUUCUUCCUUCUUCUAUUCCAUUGUCUAAAAACAUAAUUGAACUUGACUGCAAAGUCAUGGCUGGUUUUCCCUUUUGGUUAUCUCACUAUUAUUCCAUCACGGUAAGGGGAGUUACUGCAGAGUUAAGCCUAAUUUACAGGAGAGGAGAAUCAGGGCUCGAUUCAUUCCAGUGUUUCUGUUCAAAGGGAUUAAAAUGAGAGAGAGAGUUAAGAAAGAAAAGGAAGAGCUGAACUGAAAGAAGUUUGAGAAACAAAAAAAUGUUGUCACUGGGGAGCUAUGCACUUUCUCCAGGGAGUUUUGCUACCAGAUAAUCUUUGAGGUGGUGGAACAAGGUAUUUAAAUCUCUGCUAAAUCCAGGGAAGGAAAAAAGAAAGUAAAGAGCCAGCAAAAGGAAAAGGUGCCUUUUUUUUUCUGGCAAAACAAUCUACCUCUUAUGUAAAAAAAAAGUUGCUCUAUCCCAUUGAUAAUUACGCCCUCAGCAAAAGGACUUUUAAAUUCAAAUGUAAUUUUUCUGCUGAGAAGACGGGACAUGGCCUCAAGCAAUCUUUUUCUUUCAAACUGACAACACUAGUGUGUUGGUUUUUUUUGUGCGUGAAAAUAUAUAUAUUUUAAACGAGCAUGGUUGGGAUUUACGUGCACGUUUGCUUUUCAGUGGGAACUUUGUCCUUGCUCGUCUAGGUCAACGGGCCAACACCAGGAAGGCAUCAGCAAUCUCUCCCUGCUGUUCCUGAAUGGGUGGCACUGGCACUGUGCCCUGGGGCUGAGGCUUCUGCACUGUUUCUCGGGGUGCUCAUUCAGGCCUCUGGGAAGUUUGUGGGAUUUUUUUAAUGCCAGGUGUCGUGUGGCUGAGAGGCCCGGGUCUGGAAGCCUACAUGGGUAACAGAAGGGCCAUGCCAAAAAUGCGGCAACAUUUAAUGAUUUGUGUCGGGGAAGUUUAAUCCUUUGGGUGCAAGGUUUAUAAUUCCACAGCGGAUUAGCAGCCCUGGCCAUUGAGAACUCAAGGCUGGGGACCGAUUUUUUUUAUCUAACCUGGAUUUGGGCCUGCAAACCAUAUUUUCAUAUGAAAAGAUAGAGUUCAGACGUUCAGGUGUUCGAGCUAAGCAUGCUAAUAUAGAGACAUUUUAUGCCUAAAAAACCAAUAAUAACGUGGGCCAAAAGAAUUUCGGCUGAGUUGAAAGCAGAGUUUUAAAUUGGUCCUGAAUUCAAUUCCAAAUAGCUAAAAGCGGGCAAGGUAAUUUGCUACUGAUCAUUACUUUUCAGUUCGCUGUAAUUAUAAUUCUGAUGUUAUGAAGUAGCUGAGGAAAAGAACCCAACAUCUAGACCCGAUUGACCUGUGGAAGGAGGGCGUGGAAAUGGCAAACUCAUCAAAGCUUUUCGGACAAGGUAGGUCUCUGGCAGAGGCCCCUCUCCAUUUCUCUCCUUAAUGCCUGUGGAGCUGUGGGUGUGAUGCUGCUCUGGGGACAGGAGUAACAGCCAGCGUCUGCUCGGCACGGAGGGGACAUGCAUGCAUGCUCGCACGCAUCGCUACAAUGAUACCCUUCAGGCCGCCUGCCCGUCAAAGCGCCUCCCGGGCAAGCAGACAUUCAGCUGAAUGAAAUGGGAGUUAGGCUGGUGUUAGUCAUUCAGGUUACCACGAAGCAUUCCCACAAAGUCUGUAAAUAUUCACACAUGGGUAGCAUUGUCUCUUUAAAAGGAUUAGUCUCUUUAAUUAGAUCUAUCAUUCCCUUUGACCAAGGUUUCUUUAAAAGAUACAGUAGUACGAGCACUGUACCAGCAAAGAUAAAUUGCCUCCUUUGAGAGAGUGACAUUUCCCCCAUUGAGAUGGGCCCUUUUCUGGGGUUGUUGUUUUGCCCCAUGAAGCGGCCAUUCAGGUAGCGCGGCGCUGAGAGCGCCUUGUUAGAGCUCAGAAACUAUUUGUGCGGCCGCGGCAGACUUGGACUUUCCAACUGGCACCGAGGAGAAAGAGCCGCUUGUUUCCCCACUAUCGGGAAAAAAGGGCCGGUGCAGGUGGUGCUCCAUCAGUAAGACGCUGUUGGAAGAAAAGCUUGCAGGUGCUGGCGCUGCGAAUGGGCGCGCACUUCCUGGGUCCAGCGCGAGCUAAAGAGGACUGCCAACCCCACACAGAACCGCACUGUUGCCUUACGAGUGAAUAAAAAAAGAUGUUUCAAUGCUGUCGUCGGAUCUGGGUGGUUUGCCACCGAGGACAAAAAGUCUCCUGUAAAAUUUGAUUUAAAUAGUCCUAUCUCACUUGCGCUCUGGGUGACCAGAUUCAAUUGUGCUGGUGUCCCCUGUGCAGUAUGAUAUCAUAGCUUCAGAGGAAGGCUUUAUUUGGAGGUCACAUUAGUUUGUCCUGUGGAUGUAAUCAUUUUUUGUGCCACGGACAAUGUUUUACUGUGGAGAUAUGGGCCAGAUGGCUCAGCCACUUGCAGUCCAGCGUUAAACAGGCUCUUUAUUGUCGGUGAAUAAACAGAACCUAUUGUCUGUCGCUCACGAAACUCUAGUGUCCAUCACUGUUUAAAGAUGAAGUAUUAAAUUUUCAUGGCUUAGGGAAGAAUAUGUAAAACAACAAGUAGAAGGGGUGUGGGCUUCCAAAACAUAUCCUCAUUGUCCGUCCUUUUUUUUUUUUUUUCUUUGCUCUUUGCAAAUACCCAGGAGGUGUUUCCAUGCGUUGCCAUUGUUUGACGUUGCUAAGCGCUCAGGUCCUGCUCGCCUUCUCCCCUCGGCACUGGGGGCAUCGUGCAUGGGGUACCAUCGCCACAGGGCUGGGAGCAUCCCUCAGGUUCUGCGACCAGUCCUGUGCAAGGGUUUGGAGCCCGGGUGUGCAGCAUGUUUCCAAGCCUGUCACUUGUCCCUGGGACUCUCCAGUGAGCUGCUAAUACUCAGAUGUUGGCCAGCAAGCGAGUGGGGAAAAAUAGAUCAACACCAAAGAGAUGAAAUUCAUCUUUCCCCCCCUGGUUUUUCCCUGGGGCCCAGCACUGUGAAUCGUUCUUGAUUUUCCUAGAGAAAAAAGGCAUUUUCUGUUUAAACUUAUCCCAUCCUAUAUUGCAAUGUCAGAAGUAUUUCUUUCCUCUCCCUAAUUGCAACCAAAGCCAACCUUGACUGGCAAGGAGAAAGUCCCUGACAGGUUUGGGUUCAGUCCAGACCUUCUCAGAGAGUCUGUCAGCCAACUGUUUGACAGUAUGCAAAUGUAUGCAAAUGGAGGGACACUGGAUGAACACCUGCAGAAAGUGUCCAUCCCCAGUCCUGCUAUGCUUUACCUCCUCUGCACGUGGGGCUUUGAAAUGCUGCCUCGUCUCCCUCUGUCAGUUUAUUAUGCGUUUGUCAGCAGAACGUGGGGCUGGUGGAAACUGCACUCUUUGUCCUGACGGGCGACAGAGCCCCAUGUGGACUGGCGAGUGCCAGGAAUGGCGUGAUGGCUUCCGUCCAGCCCUUGUGAAUCCUUCUUUCUGUCUUUAGGACCUUCGCUUCAGUAUCCGAACCCUUUCGGGGUUGCCCGUGUCAAGGAAGGCCUUCUGUUUUCCUGGGAGUAAAGACAUCAUAUUGGUGGAGUCUCAGCAGAACAAAAAGGCUCUUUCUUGCCAGCAGCUGGAGCACAGGGCUGCGAGGGGUUGUGCAUGCACGGCAUGAAAACCUGCCUCUGACUCAUGCCGGUUGGGGAGGAAGGAAAGAGAGGCACCUUGAAUAAAGCAAAGCAUCAGGUGCCUGAGAGAUGGGCUGGCUGCUGCAGUCACCAGGAGUAGUGCGGGCCUGCUGCACACCCCAUGGAGCAGGCCUGGAGCACUGCAGGACCCCUGAGGUGCUCCUCAGUCAGGGUGGGCAGCUGUUGGGCCCCUACUCCGAUGUUUUUUAAAUAGAAGUUUGAGAAAGUUCAGGACUUUGAGCAUUGCCCCACUUCAGUCAAAGACUGGGCUCACUGCAGUCAUGAUUUGAGUCUCAACUGCCUUGGACAGAUGGGGUGGGGGCCUGAAUCUUGGCCCUGGAUGUUAAAAUCAUUGAAUUUUGAGAACAUGCUGACUGGAUCAAAGAUGCAGAUCUCAUGCCAACGUGCAGUUAAAGGGAGAGGGGUGAGCACUGCCAGUUGCUGUGGGGCAGCUUUAGAUUUACAUUGCUAAACAUCUGUGCCAGCGGGGAGUGGGGCAUCUAUGGCCACCAGCUCCCACAUUUCUCAUUGCUGGGCAUCAACCACAACCUCAAGCAGCUCCAACUGAUGUAGGGGCUGCUUUCAGACUGACUUACAGACAUCAGGCUCAAUCCAUGGCCUCAGUUAAAAAUCGUUUGCCUGAUACCAGUGCUGUGCCUCCCUUGGGUAUCUAAAUUCACCAAAUACAACCACAUAUCACAAAGUUAUAACCCACAAGUGAUGCCAUGUGUAAGGCCGUGGCUAAACAACGCACUGUAUACCACAAGCCUGAUGCUACACAACAGGAAUUGUUCAAUCAGAGUUCCUGGGGCUGCUGACUGGGCAGGUAGAGGUAAGACUUGCAUAUUGCUUGGUCUUUUGCUCUAGGAAUAGUCAACUCAUGCUGGACUUGAUGUGCAGUGAAAUGCAAGUGGAUAGUUCAGAACAAGAGACAGCACAGAGCCACCACAGUCGGCAGUGAUACUCAGCUUCUAAGGUCUUUGGACUGCCAAAAUACAAGGAACACUGUAAUUGUGAUACCAGUGGCCUUAGAAAUGCAGGCAUUAGGCUUCUGCAGCAAGCUUGCGCUGCACGGGAGUUGCUUAAAUCCAGCAGUUAGUCACUACUCCUAGGGCUUUUUCUUUGGCUGGUGAUAGGAAGUGGACUCUUCUGCACAGGCAGCAAACAGAGCCCCCACCAGAGCUCCCUUGGCACCAGGUUUUACAACUGGCUUCCUGGGACAGGAUGCUCAGAUGGUCCUGUCUACACUUCCCACCACACUGUAUUGAAAUUAGUCCGCGCUUUCUAUGUAGAGGGAAAAUAAGUGCUCCUGCUUUCUGGCUCUUUUUUCUUCUUACACUUUGGAGCCCAAGGUAGCUGCAUUUAGCAGCUUUAAUAUCCUUUCAUUGCUGCUGCUUGCAGGGUUGUGGUCACUCAGGCAGCAGUAACUUUGAAAAAAUGACCCGUCUACACCCAAACAAUAACAGAAUCCCCCUUUUUAUGUUGGCAACGCCCCCUGCUUUCUGUUCGCUCCGGGACUCCCCACGUAGACGCAACUGUUUGACCAGCCUUCUUCAGAACAACUUAAUUAAGCAAAAGAAAAAGUGUCAGUUUCUGCCAACCCUGCAGAAACAGAACUGUGGGGGUAAAAAGGGUAUGUGGCAUUAACCCGCAUUCCUGAGUGGGCUAACGAAGGCAGCCCCUCGCGGCGCUGCUGGGCACGUCCCAUCCGGGCUGCCGGGAUCAGAGCACUGCUUACCCACAUCCCACAGGUGCCAUGGUCCCCUUGAACCGCAGGGCGCUUGCCUGAGGAUCCAAGCAGCUUUUGGAACUGCAUGGAGACAGAGAGAGAUGUGGGCUCAGCAGGCCAAACUGCUCGUCCUCCAGCCACAGCCUUCCUCUUUUUCCCCUGCACUGAGAGCCUGCCGUGUGCAUGAGCCUUCCACUACUGUGAAACCUCUCCUCUCCGAACUAACAACAUUUUGAGAGAAGGUAGCACAAAUCAGACUCAAUGAUCCUUAUGGGUCUCUUUCAACUCAUCAUAUUCUACAGUUCCAUGAGACUAUGAAUUUCUUUUGCUUCAGAGACUGGAUCUGCUCCACAAGCAUCAGAGCAUUUUCUUCUUAAGCUGGCAGGAUGCACCCUGCCCAGCCAGCUGCUCUCUGUCCAAGGAAAGGGAUGAGGCUCUCACCACAAGUGCUUCAAGGGCCUGAGUUUUCAUUACGGGCUCCAAGGGAAAAAAAGUUGCUCUUAGUUGAGAAGGGAGACUAUGGAACAGAACUGUCUCCCUGAGUUAUGUUCUCCCCUUCUGUCUUUGUCUCCAUUAAAAGAGCAUAAAUUCAUUUUAGGCUACAGUUUGGCAAAGGUCGGAAGCUGAUUUGACUUUGCGCGGCGUGCCUACUGCCUUCGAAAUCAAUGAGCCGGCUGUUCACCCCGCACAAACAGAGCACGCAUGUGGGCCUUUGAAGGACCAUGGCUUUAUUUGGAAGAGAGUUAGGCUUGCAUUGUUUCUUUUUCAGAUAAACACCGCGUUUUGCUUGCAUGCUGCCCUAUGGUCUCCUACCCCAAUCACCUCUGUUCUUCAAUGGUAGAUGGCAGGCAGGAGUCUGUGUGCUUCUGAGCAGCCAUCUUGUCCUCAAAACAAACCAGAAAUGUUUUAAAUAAUAAAAAUAGUCAGAGCAAACCAGGUCUCCAAACCCUUAAAUGCUUUGUUAUAUUUUUCGUGGGUUCUUCCAGUCCUGAUAACUCGCCAUUUAAGAAGAAAGGAAGCCAGCUGUUGGAAGUUAAAUUCCUAAGGCAGUGAGAUCUCUUGUGAGGGAGGUGUUUUUACCCUUCUUUGACUUUUUUUUUUUUUUUUUUUGAGAUUUGAACACAUACAGCAAGUGCUGGGAUUGGCUUUCCAGGAUCAGACGGUAACUAUGAGGGUGAGGCACCGCUGCAGAUGGAUGGCCGCAACCACACAGGCCCUAGGUGCUGAGGCAACCCAUGGCAAUAAAACUGACUUUAGGGUGCAAGUGGAUGCUUUUUUUUUACUUAAAGACACUACAGUGAAUUGCAGUGGGAGCUUUCCUGUGAGCAGAGCUGGCUUUUUUGCACUUUUGCAAGGUUGAAGUGAAGGGACAGUGGCUAUCCAGCCGCAAAUCUGUUACGGACACAAAACAACAGCGUAUUACGGGGCAAGAAAUGAAAAACCUUUCCUGCCACCUCCAACUAUUCCAUUCUUUCCACACGGCGGCACAGGGCCCGCGGCCUUUAUGGUGAUUAAUAUCUGGGAAGCUUCUUAACAAGGCCCGGCUUGAUAGGUGGCUCUUGUUGGGCUAAAUUUAUGGCCUGGUACUUCCUCAGGAAGACUUCCCACGUUGAAUUGUUGAACAUUACUGACCCUGAUGCCCAACACGAGGGGGUGGGGAUUUACACAGAUGUCUGGUAACUGUGGAAGGUGCAAAAAUCCAGAAGAACAACCUGCAUUACAUCCAUGGGAGGCGGCUGGUUAGCAGAGGUCAGGGGGAGGCCCAAGCCAGUGUGUGAGCCGCAGUGUUUUGGUGCAGUUUGUUUUUUGAUUAGUGCAGUUCAUGACCGGGCCAUCCCACCUGAAUAACAAUCAGUGUGAUUCACAGCAGGCCGGGAGAGGGCAGGGACGCCCGCCGUGCCGCGCAUAUGGAGCCAAGCCCUGGGAAGCGCAGAACCUCCCCAAACCCAGAUGGUUCGGGUUGACGGCUCUGGCGAGGCACCAGGAAUAACCCAUUAUGAUAUGAAAUCAUCAAGACCUCGACCCCCCCUGCCAGCUCCCUGGCCCCCUCCUGCCUCCCUCGGACUGUAUUUACAGAAACAAAGCCAUAUGGGAAAGUGAGCGCGGCCGCGGAUUAAUGAACAUGCAUGAAAUGGAGAUUCGUGCUGCUUAAUGAUGCAGUCAUUAAAAACUAGUGUCUGCGUGCGCUUUUUUUUUUUUUUUCCUGUUGGAUUUUUCUGUUUUGUUUUGCAUUUAUGUGACACUGUAUUUGCCUUUUCUUCAUAAAGAAAAAGGCGUUGGCCUCCUGUCACCGCGAGCAGAUGGGAGGGCACGGCUGGGCCAUCGGUGACAGGAGGUGGUGAUCACUCGUCCUCCCGCACGGGUGGAGGUAAAACAUUUAGGCAGCAGCACGAGGAGCUGGUCCCCAAUUCCUCACUGCUGCCAUUGCUGCUUGCCAUGGAAAAUCUCCACCCUGAAUGAUGGAGGGGCAUAGAUGGUGCCUCUGGGGUCCCCGCCAUCAGGAGGUGCUGAAUCCUUGGGCCAGGAGUGCCUUCACAGAGCCUACAGAAAGGAUUUGGUUUGCUGCCAGCAGUCACAGAGAUCCAGCAGAGGGAGGACAGAGAGAAGGCUCUUGGCCAGACGGUUUCAGAAAGAUGUGUAGUCCUGGAAGCAGGAGGGCUGUGGUUUAAUAAGACAAAUGGCUCCAAGAAAGGGGUAAGAUUUAGCUGCAGGAAUGAAAUGGGAGGACAGAAAGCACUGCUGAGAGUGAGACUGGAGAGGCACCAGACCAAACCCCACUUCUGUCAUCCCUUCCUGACGAGCACCACUCACUUCCCUCAUCAUCGCUUUCCACUCGUGUUGACUAUCACUGUCUGCCAGGGUAAAGUGUAACAUGGAGGUGGGACUUGGUGCAUCAUUGUUUUUAAAAUAAUUGGUCCCCCUUGAAACAAUCAAAUUCGUAAUCCCAAAUUUCCAGACAUGAAAUAGGAGAGACUCCGGGCCAAAAAAUUAGAAGUCAUUGAUGCAGAUAUACAGAUAUACUGUACAGUGUCCCUUGAAUACCAUGCUCUCAGUCUUUUGAGUUUCAUGAGUAUUCAUCAUGAUUUUCAAAUAAUUUAAAAGCCAUUUCUUAAUGAAGGCUAAAAUAUCCCUUUUAAACUUCUAAGUGCCGUUCUUCUUUGAUCACAUCCAUACAUUCCCUAUUCCAGAGCCCUUCUUUCUUCUGCAUAUUCAUGUUCUUGGGAUAAUUUAAAGGCAUACUUGCAUGUUUGACAGUGAUAAAUAAAACUCAUCCAUCAUAUAGCAGAACCUCUAGGGAAAAUUAAAUAUCCCCUGUUUCAGUACCAUUACAGUAUGCAUGAUUAUGUACUUGAUCCAGAGCUCAGUGAACCAGUGGAAAUAUUUAAUGAGCUGGCAGAAUAUUUAUUCUUGGUUUAGAAAAGAGAAAACCUCAAUUUUGGUAGUUACUGUGUGUUUUAGAGACCAUUUUCUACCUGUCUUCUGUGUCCUAGAAGCUGUGAUAGUAACAGUCCUUGCCAGAACUCUCCGACUCAUCAAAGCAGCAUCUUGUUCAUAUUUCUGAGGGAUAAAUGAAGGUACCUGUCAGGUAUUGUGCCCUUGUGGUCAAGAAGGCCAAUGGUAUCUUAGUGUGCAUCAAAAAGAGUGUGACCAGCCAGUGAGGGGAGGUGAUCCUCUCUCUCUAUGCUGUCCUAGCGAGGACACAUCUGGAAUACUGUGCCCAGUUCUGGGCUCCCCAGUUCAAGAAAAACAGGGAACUUCUGGAAAGAGUCCAGUGGAGGGCCACAGAGAUGAUGAUGGGCCUGAAGCAUCUCCCUUAUGAGGAAAGGUUGAAAGACCUGGGACAAGACAGUCAAUUUUUGGACAGUUAAAGGCAGGUGCGAUGACUCUCCAACCUUCACUGUCAUCUGUGGGAAGACGAUGUAUGGGAAGGAGCUCUGAUGGCUGCACAGUGAAGGACUGACACAGCGAUAUUGGGCAAGCACCGUAUGACGGUAAUGCAAUUAACUGCACAUUUCCAAGCCAUCAGUCAGAGGGCAGGUAGCGGUGCAGGUAUAAAUCACAACAAAAUAUAAAUCACGGCCGAGGCUACCAGGAAAUUUACAGCUGACCAGUGAAAAAUGGAACAGCCUGACCUUUCACUUGGGGCCACAAUGGCUGUGCUGCCAAUGGCCCCGCCGCCCUUCAGGCUGCUGGAGAGCCAGUUGCUAUAGCUGUGACAUUCCCCCCGCAGUUGCCUGAGAAACGUGCCCAAGCCCCUCACCGACACCUCUUGCUUUCAACAUCCCCCUCUGGCACUUGAGAUGCUUUAUGUGCCGAUCCCAGUGUCCGAAGGCGCAGGCGGAGGUUAAGACCUUGUCCCGUAUUCUGUACUGCUUAGCAGGAUCCCUCUUCAGUGCUCUCAACCCGAGCAGGAGAUGCUCAUGUUUAGUGACCUGUCACACGAGUACUUCAGGCUUUUGUUCUGGGAAAUUGGCCUUCCUCUGUUUGAUGUGAGAGGAUUUGGGCUGCAUCAUUAAAGCCAUCAUCCUGCCAAGGUUAAGGGAGCAAGGAGGGAAAGCUGUUUCUCUGUAAGUAACAAGGGGUCUGAAACAUCUCACCUCCUUUGGAACAGAGGUUCCCAUCCCGGCAGCAUUGAGGCUGGCAGCUGUGCUGGGCCAUGGGUGCCUGGAGAGGAGACAGCCUGUGCUCUGAUCUCCUGCGUGAACACAUGGCAAAUAUGAUCCUAGCAGAGAUCAGGCACCAAGUGAGCUGUAGCAUCUCUGGGAAUCUGAUGCUUGCCUCAGCCUUCCCUGCUGUAGCCCUCCCAAUAAGCCAGGGGGCAAAGCUGGGCUUGAGCAUGUCUAAUGGGUCCUUGCCCAUCCAUGUCAGUAAUACUACUGGGAUCCUGAAGCAGCUCUGCUUUGCCUGAUAUGAACUUGGGAUCCAGGUGGGACGGGACUGAGGUAUGAAGUGAAAGGGUGUACUGAUGGGAGAGGUUUUUUCCAUUACAUUCUUGACAUUCAUUGUUGGGGAGUUGGACUAGAUGAGCUUAAAAGGUCCCUUCCAACUCAAAUGACUGAAAUUCUAUAGUCUGUCUUCAAGAGAUGGAGGCUCUGAGCAUAGGUAGCAAGGUGAGCACAGCACAGUGGGCUCUCUAACCGGUUUUGGGACAGAGCUGGACGCUGUACUGUUAGGAUGGGCUCGCAGGGAGGAAGGGGCAGUGAGUGUAGCGUCAGGUGUCACUCUUGGACCUGCCAUGAGUGACACCUCUGUGGGCAGACGCAAACCAGUAGGUCAGGAUGGCUGCUUUCUGUUGCUGUCUGGUUGCAGCCUUUCUGUUCUUGUUGACCCUUUGCAGUGGGUUUUUUGUUGUUGUUGUUGUCUUUUUUUUUUUUUUUUUUUUUUUGCUUGAAAGAAUUAAGAAGUAGAGCUUCCAUGAAUAAAUAUAACUCUUAGCUCCGUCUUAUUAACCAAAAGCAAUUUAGGGAUAAAUACAGUGAAUGUUAACAAAAAGCAAAGAAUAGAAAAUUGUUUAAGUGGCCAAAGAAACUUUAUCCCAUUGUGAUGCAAGCCAAGCUAUGCCAGCUAUAUGUAAAUGUAUGCAGUAGUCUCUGUGCAUGUGUCCACUUUGAAGUUGCCAUCUGAAUUUAAUUCUGCCUUUGUGAUUAAAUCAGGCCAUUACGUUUAAUCUCACUUAAUAGUAAGAAACGUUCUUUGUUGUUUUCUAUAGGCAACAUAUUCUGCCCCUAACAUAUACAGCUUGGCAUUCACACUUUACUAUUAAUCCCCGAUGGCUGAUAAUUGCUUCAUCUCCAAGUUCUCUGUCCAAUUCACAAGGGAACUGAUUGCAACUAUUCUUCCCCUAUACAUUAAUGCACUGUUUUGGUCUUACUUCUUUGGCUCAGUGAACCCUAUCAAGCUGUCCACAUUUUCUGGGCAUGUGGGCGUAUUGUAAGUUGUUAAAUUAAAUUCUGUGCUGACCCCCUAAACACCAGAAUCUAUUAGUGCUGCAAGUUAGCUGAUUGACAAGUGGAGCUACUUUUCCUCUCAAAAACCUGACAUGAAAAAAAAACGGGCUAACUAAGGCUGAAUAUUUUGUUUCAAGUGAAAGCUGGAGAUCUUCUGCCUGCUGUCUUUCUACUUACAGUUUCAUUACUGCAGCAGGAUCAGUUGCGUUAUUGCCACAGUAUUGUUUCAUUGAUCUUACGAAUGUCACUUGUGAAAUUUCUCUGGAAAAAAACCAAGUAUCUGGGACGUGUCUUCAGUUUGCUUGAAGCAGGAAGCCUGCAUGGAUAUAUGAGUAUUUUAAGUACAUUUAAUUCAGAGAGCUGGUUCUUUUUCCUUCCCAGAAGAUGGCCUUAAUCUGUAAUCACUGAAUUAGGCUCAAGGAGCCUCAGACUGUCGCUAUUUUGCCAGAAAUGUAAAAAAACUGUGUGGAUCCUUACAGGGACAGCAAUUGAAAGAGACAUUCCAGCUUCCCAAAGACAAAUAUCAGUGGUGUUAAAAUGUGUUAAUUUAAGACUCUAUUUCCCCUUCCCUUCCCUUCCCUUCCCUUCCCUUCCCUUCCCUUCCCUUCCCUUCCCUUCCCUUCCCUUCCCUUCCC